AAAUCGAUUUGAUAAGCUCUUGAGUGGGAUACAAGUGGAGUUAAGAGGGAUUACCACCAUGUGGCUUUAACCUAUUCAAGUUACCUAUGCAGCUCUUCUGAGAAUCCCUUACCUUUUAUGAUAAGUGAAACAAUCUCAAUCUUUGGUUUUCCGUCUUUUUUUACCACAUGCGAUUUUGGCAAUGCUGCUCAUUCCGAACUCAAUUCACAGUGACAGCACUAGUUCAUCGCUGUUCUAGAGAUUCACUACAUGUGAAAGAAAUAACUCGCAUUUUACGAUCCUAAUAUAGACAAUAAAACCGAUUUGAGAGAGAAUAAGAAUGCGAAAUUGUUAGAGAUAUCAGUUAGUAUCGACUAUUUUCAGGUGGAUUAAGGAAAAAAAUUGAAUGCUAAAUUUAUUCAGUUGAAAAAAUAUCGAAAAAUAUGUUAUUUCCUUCAGUCUUAAAAGAAUUCUUUUGAUUAUGAGGGUCGCUGCGUUAGGGCUGACCUCUCCUUCAUGGUGUGAGAGGGUGUCUUGGGCAGAGAUCACUACAUAGCCCAACUGAAGAGUCCAUCAGCGAUCUCGGAACGAAACACCACAGUCCACAAUAAUAAUAAAAAAAAAAUUAAUUUGGUAUACCUAUCUAUUAACAAAAUGUUCAAUGUUCAUUUUCUAUUUCAAUGAUGGUAAUUAAAUUGAGAAAUAUAUGAAAUUAUUGAAUAUGUCAAAUAUUUAUAUUAAUUUAUUAAUACAUUUAAUAAUUUCAAUGAAUCUAUCUGAAUAUUCUUUAUAUCAAAUCACUUUCAUCAUUAAUUUUAUAUAUAAUAUUCCUAAAGAUUUUUGAGAAUUUUGGAAUCUAUUCUAUUAUAUUCCUAAACCUAAAUGUCAAUAUUUAAUAUUCAGUAGAUUUAUGAACGAUUCAUUGUUCAUUGUUAUUAUUUUGAUAAUUUAAAAUAUUCUUAUGCAGACACCAAUAUACUAUUCUUAUAAGAAUUUUCUAAGAAAACUAUUUCUAUAGUUUCUCCGUUCUAUGUUCCAACCAGAAUACUGUCCUUCCAUCGUGUAGCAGUAUUUUAAAAUGGUUGUUGGUGCUUCUUAACUGUAAAAGUGUUCAUCGUUCGUUCUUUUCGCCUUGUGCUCUGCGUCUGUUAACACCACUUAAUAUAAAAGACAUUCAGUACAUCCAAGUUUUAUCAAAUAACAUUUUAAAAUGAAGAAAGGAAAGAAGGUUCAAGACAAGGAUAAACCAAAAAGACCUCAAACUGCAUUCAUGUUGUGGUUGAACGAAAAUAGGAAUAAAAUUAAGUCCAAAAAUCCAGAUAUGAAAGUAACAGAGAUAGCCAAGGAAGGAGGACGACAAUGGAGAGAAUUGGAGGAUAAAACUAAAUGGGAGACGAAGGCUAAGGAAUUCAAAAGGUUAUAUGAAGAAGCAAUGCAGGCCUACAAAGCAAAGCAGGAUGUAGACUAAGAGUUUAAUCUUUUCAAUGUUUAGAUAUAAUUCUUUUGUACUGUGUGUAUUAAUAUGUUAAAAGUGAAUAAAUAAAGUUAUAAGAUUAGUAAAUAAA